rnacentral:misc_RNA from 1 species
AACCAUUCUCACCUGCGGCUAGACCUGCGGAGGGAUCAUUACCGAGUUUACAACUCCCAAACCCCUGUGAACAUACCACUUGUUGCCUCGGCGGAUCAGCCCGCUCCCGGUAAAACGGGACGGCCCGCCAGAGGACCCCUAAACUCUGUUUCUAUAUGUAACUUCUGAGUAAAACCAUAAAUAAAUCAAAACUUUUAACAAUGGAUCU